GACGAACGCUGGCGGCGUGCCUAACACAUGCAAGUGGAGCGACGAACCAGGCUUCGGCCUGGGGCAAAGCCGCGAACGGGUGAGUAACACGUGGGUAACCUGCCCUGAUGAUUGGGACAACCCGAGGAAACUCGGGCUAAUACCAAAUGUGCCCUUCGGCCACAAGGCCGCUGGGGAAAGGAAGCUUCGGCCUCCGCAUCUGGAUGGGCCCGCGGCCCAUUAGCUUGUUGGUGAGGUAACGGCUCACCAAGGCGACGAUGGGUAGCUGGUCUGAGAGGACGAUCAGCCACACUGGGACUGAGACACGGCCCAGACUCCUACGGGAGGCAGCAGUGGGGAAUCUUGCGCAAUGCGCGAAAGCGUGACGCAGCAACGCCGCGUGGGGGAAGACGGCCU
rnacentral:rRNA from 1 species